AAGUGAGAACAGUUCUCAUAUCAGGUUCUCAUUUUGGAAAUAUGUUUAUAAAGUGUUUAGUUUUGUUAACCACAAUGAUGUGGUGUGAUAUUCCUUUCUAAGCAGUUAGAGAAUAUGUCAUUUCAGAGGUUCUCCGUUAUUGGAGACUGGUCUUUGCUUCGAAGCAUUGAGGAAGGGAAUAUGAUCAGAGUGGU